rnacentral:misc_RNA from 1 species
GGAAAAUAGAAUUAGUACUCAUCAAUGAAUUACAAGGAAUACAAUAUCAACCAUAGCUACCAACCCCAUAUGCUUUUUAUUUUUUUUGGUGGGGGGAGGGGUGGGGUUAAGGUUGGAUUCAUUUUCUUCCAUUAUUAUAAUUUCUCACAGAAUUCCGUAACUGUUAAAAACUAAGAGGAAAAUGGCAAAGAUUGGUACUAAAUCUGAGAGAAAAG